CCUACGGGGUGCAGCAGUGAGGAAUAUUGGUCAAUGGGCUUACGCCUGAACCAGCCAAGUCGCGUGAGGGAAGACUGCCCUAUGGGUUGUAAACCUCUUUUGUCAGGGAGCAACGCCGGCUACGUGUAGCCGGACUGAGAGUACCUGAAGAAAAAGCAUCGGCUAACUCCGUGCCAGCAGCCGCGGUAAUACGGAGGAUGCGAGCGUUAUCCGGAUUGAUUGGGUUUAAAGGGUGCGUAGGCGGAAUGCCAAGUCAGCGGUAAAAUCGCGGGGCUCAACCUCGCUCCGCCGUUGAAACUGGCGUUCUUGAGUGGGCGAGAAGUAUGCGGAAUGCGUGGUGUAGCGGUGAAAUGCAUAGAUAUCACGCAGAACUCCGAUUGCGAAGGCAGCAUACCGGCGCCCAACUGACGCUGAAGCACGAAAGCGUGGGUAUCGAACAGGAUUAGAUACCCCGGUAGUC
rnacentral:rRNA from 1 species